AUUGCUUCUCGGCCUUUUGGCUAAGAUCAAGUGUACAUUCUCUCAGCAUAAGAAAAUUUGAGAAGCAUCUUAUCUCUAAAAGAAAAAUUUCCUGAUUUUUAAAGAUUUUAUCCUUUCAUCUUGAUCACAUAGGUAUAAUGGAAAAUAGUGUUCUUACAAGACAGGAUCCACUGAGGUUCCCCAAAGA
ensembl:snRNA U2 U2 spliceosomal RNA